GGCAGGGGCUGUGGGAGGUGAACUGCUGGUUUGGGAGUGAGAGCUAGUCUGCACCAACCCUCCAUGCCAAACCAGGGGAGGGGAUCUGCUGAAGUGCCUCAGCACUUCUGUUUGGUAACACUCUUUGGGAAUAUACUCAAGGGGUUUAUGUGAUAAAUGUUUUCAAUAUUGAGAAGUAUAGCACAAGGCUUUUUUUUUAACUCUGGGGAAAAAUAAGGAUUUUUCUUUGAUUUUCUAUGCUUUUGUGCAUAUUUCCUAGUAGGUGCUCCUAGAGAAAUAAACAUGAAUUAUCUUGUAGUAAGACUGUAAUUUGCAUAUUUGUAAGAUGUAUGUGAAAUGUUGUCUGACAGUAAAGAAUGCCUUUUAAGCAGUAGUAUUUUGAAAGAGGAGGAGCAGUUGUAACCCAUCUUUUCUUCCUGAUGGAGGUGGUUAUGACACCAGGGUUGGCCUUUCUGAUGUUGGCAACGCCUCUGGGGUAGAUGGACCAUCAUCCACAUUAUUAGCUGACAGACCUGCCGGAUCCAGAGCCUCACACCUCUUGUGCAGAGGAACCUGAGGAAGUGAGGCAGAUUCCUGGAGAGGGCUCGCCUGCCACCCUAAGCAUCGAUUUGCCUCUGUUCUCUCCUUUACUGGAGGGAAGAGCAUGGCUCCAGCAGCUUUUUAUCAGACUCCCUGAUGUUCCUUAACCAGUCCAGUUCCUUUCAAAGCUCUGCCAUCAUCUGGCACAUCACCUCACACAGGUGUCCUCUCUCUGCCUUGCUCAGCUCCUGUGGACUAGAGGUGAAUACAUCAGCAACAACAAAACCAGCCAUGCCUGAAAACAGUGACAAAGAACACUGCCCAGCAUGGGACUUCUCACUGCAGAGGUCAUCCCUGCUCUGAGCUCGGCACUCAUUACUGUGUUUCACCAGCUUGUUAAUAGAAAAUUAUUGGCAGAGGAGGUUUAAUAAAGCAUAUUGCAACACAAACCACCAUAAUAAAGAUCUUGAACAAUAUCAGUGGGCCACAAAUAAAAACCCUGACAUGGGUUCCUUCCCUAACACAUGCACAUACACACACACACUAAGCACAUCUCAGUGUUAGUGGGUAUUACAGUGAAAUGAAAAAAUGCUGUGUUAUUUCUGCUUUAAGAUUCAAUACAGGUCAAGUUCAGGCAGUUUCAGGUUUCUACAUAACUGUAAACCAUUCUGCUUUUAAAAACAAAAUUAAUUUGGGAACCUUGAGGUGCUUUGCUUUUUUUUUGUAACUUCUUUUUUUUCAUUACAGUUUCAUAACAAGUAAUUGAAAAUAAGUACUUUUCCCCUUUCUAUAUUGAAGCUGCUGCUUAAUGCUGAUGUCUAACAAUAAUUUAACCUUAAAAACAAUCAAAACUUUCUGCUGUAAUUUCAGAGACUUCAACAUGCUCAUCUGAUCUCCAAGGACAGAAAGAAUUAUUACAUUCAAGGAAAAAAAGUCCACUCCUAUUUUAAUUAAAAAGAUGCUGUGUUUGUGCUGGAAAUUACUUCAAAGUUUGAAUUAAAGAUGAAAUUAUUUCCUUUAAUCAAAGUUAUAAAACAUUUAUGUUAUUAGUGUGCAUACCUAAAAGGGAUGAAAAUAAUCUUUUUUGCUUGUUCCAAACCUUUGCUGAGGACUGGAAUGUAUCUUGUUUCCCUUAUUACUUUUGGUUAUUUACAGUAUGUAACUCACAGGUCCUGUAAUAAGAGUUCCACAUUAAAAAGACCUCAAUCUCAUAGCACCA